rnacentral:rRNA from 1 species
CGUCUCAGUUCGGAUUGUAGUCUGCAACUCGACUACAUGAAGCUGGAAUCGCUAGUAAUCGCGGAUCAGAAUGCCGCGGUGAAUACGUUCCCGGGUCUUGUACACACCGCCCGUCACACCAUGGGAGUCGGGAAUGCCCGAAGCCAGUGACCCAAGCGAGAGCAGGGAGCUGUCGAAGGCAGGCCGGAUAACUGGGGUGAAGUCGUAACAAGGUAAC